AAUAGAUACCCGGGUAGUCCACGCCGUAAACGAUGAGUGCUAAGUGUUAGAGGGUUUCCGCCCUUUAGUGCUGCAGCUAACGCAUUAAGCACUCCGCCUGGGGAGUACGGCCGCAAGGCUGAAACUCAAAGGAAUUGACGGGGGCCCGCACAAGCGGUGGAGCAUGUGGUUUAAUUCGAAGCAACGCGAAGAACCUUACCAGGUCUUGACAUCCUUUGCUAACCCUAGAGAUAGGGCAUUCCCCUUCGGGGGACAGAGUGACAGGUGGUGCAUGGUUGUCGUCAGCUCGUGUCGUGAGAUGUUGGGUUAAGUCCCGCAACGAGCGCAACCCUUGAUCUUAGUUGCCAGCAUUCAGUUGGGCACUCUAAGGUGACUGCCGGUGAUAAACCGGAGGAAGGUGGGGAUGACGUCAAAUCAUCAUGCCCCUUAUGACCUGGGCUACACACGUGCUACAAUGGAUGGUACAAAGAGCUGCGAACCCGCGAGGGUAAGCGAAUCUCAUAAAGCCAUUCUCAGUUCGGAUUGUAGG
rnacentral:rRNA from 1 species